ensembl:lncRNA
AAUUGGUACAAAUUACAUCACGCUGCCAACAAAAUGGGCCAGUCGAUUUGCAGUGCUGCAAUCAAUGAAAGCCUGACAGGCAGAGACGUCUGCUUUACACACACACACACACACACACACACACACACACAAAAACUGAUAGGCCUGCGUGUUUUGGAAGGUUAGCCUUUAUGGCGAUUUUAAUGGUCAGGAGCACUUGGUUAAUUAAAAAUAAUAAUAAUUAAAUGGCACCAAUGUAUCAGUUUGAACUCAGUUUUAAAUGGCCUGAUAUAUUGCAGCCACAAACACACAGCAGGCAUUAUUAAACAUGGACAUCAAAACCAUAGGCACGUAGUCAUUGACACACACAAUAGAUUUUUCUUGCAAUUCUUACAUAUAAACUUCAAUGGGAGAAAGGAUGUUUGACAGUUCUAUUUUUUACUUUUUAUGAUGAAUGUCGUUUUAGAAGCCAGCAGCACCAAUGUGUCGGCGGAAGCAUCACUUAACUGACGACCGAAGUCAGCCUGCACAAGGAGUCGCUAGAGCGCAAUGAGCCAAGUAAAGCCCACCCAGCCAAACCUUCCCCUAACCUGGACAACGCUGGGCCAAUUGUGCACCACUCUAUGGGACUCCCGGUCACGGCCAGUUGUGACACUGCCUGGGAUCAAACCCGGGUCUGUAGUGACACCUCAAGCACUGCGACGCAGUGCCUUAGAGCGCUGCUCCACUCUGGAGAGCAUCUUAUAAUCUUAACUCAUUUAAAUAUGUAACGCCUCAAAACCGUCAUCACGUGCGCAUUAUAUGGCUUUGUUUACGAACUGUAAGAUAGCUCAAGCAAACUAAACCCUUUUCAUGUGUUGUGCCUUUUAGCUAGCUAGCUACUGUACUUACCAGCAUGGCAGAAAAAGCACAAUGUUGUGACUGGAUGCCAUAGCGUUCAUUUAAAAAGUUACACUAUUUUCCGAAGAAUUAACAUUUGACAGCAGUGGCUGCUUUUCAUUUCAGGCUCCACUGAAAAUUACGAUCAUGUUAGUGCAGUGUACAUUUAGAGCGAAGUUGCUUUAUAAACUGGUGAGGACAUUCGAUAGGUCUUGCCAGGAAGCUAAACCUGAAGACUGACGCUGUGCCAUUAUUGACAGUGGAUCUUGCAAGGGCUGACCAUAAUCUUCCCAGGCAAACACACCAGCAGGAAUGCUGUGAUACAAAAUCAGUUUUCCCAAGGCAAAGAAGACGGGAUAUGCUGAGAAGCCUGUGACAACAGACCAAACAUACUGCUACGUAGAAGGGCUCCUGGAUCUCCUCCCCAGCGAGGUCACCCUUGAUCCAGCACCGUAUGUGGGGAAGCUGUGCGAGCUGCCCAUCACAGGACGCCUGUCUGCCCAGUGUGAGAGGCCUGACAAGGAGGAGGCCACAGCUGGAUUUGUCUCCUGCUUUCAUCUUGGGGAAGACUGAAGCCAAGUGGGUGACUGAAUUCAAGUAAGUGACUAAAGUCUGCUUGAUUGAUGCGGGGUACCUGGGUCUCCCUCCUCUGCAGCUCCUCUCACCAUCAAUCUCUGUAGUUGGCUGCAAUACCUAAAGUCUGAGUAAUUCACUUUUACUUGAUAUCAAAUAUUGUUACUUUGUAUUGUUAUUUUCAAGCAUUCUGAUGGGAGAUGAGUGGCUCAAAAUGGCUUUUUUUUUGUCAUAUGAUGUCUCACCAUUAUUUCUCAUGAGUGUUCAUGUUGAUAAAUAUUUUGUCUAUGCUGACCUAAUGUAAAUGAUCAAAUAAAUGUCCCAUAAAUACAUAAUUCUGAACAUAUUGUCAUUGAUGAUGCUAAUGCAGAGGCACCAAUACAUUUUCUAGUACACUUAUGUUAUGCUGUUUUCAUGUAUAUUCCCAUAUGUCUGUCUAAGCUGACUCAGAGUGUAUUCAUUAUGGUGAAGAAUCAGUGAACUGUAUUCUGUAAUUAGUUACAAAACAAUACAAAUAUAAUUGCUGCGGUUUGUCUCAUAUCCAACAGUCUUUGAUCAGCUCUGUUGACCAUGAGAGCAUUUUGCAGAGAAAAAGGGUUGAGGUAUACCAUUUAGGCUCGGAAUGACAUGUAGCCCAUAGUUUACCUGGAUAUCAAUGAUGUGGCUCAUUGUUUACCUUGUUAACUGGCAACGACCACAAGGGUGUUUCAAAGAGCCGUCAGUCAAGGUGAGCUCAUGAAUAUAAGCUCCCUGCCCAUUCAGCCUGUUUUGUCAGGUUUCCUGAUAGAGAUGAUAGAAAAUGUACAAGUUAUUCAAUUCUGAGAAUUUUAAUAGCGUAAAAAUAUGGGUGAUUUUAGUCAUUCAAAGGCUAUUUUUACUUGGGCAAUGACUGGUGCAAAACCUCUAAUACUUAAUACAUUAAUGUGAAAACCUUCACAAUAUUGAGUUGCAGCACCUUUUUCCCUCAGAACAGACUAUAUUCAUUGGGGCAUGGACAAGGUGUCAAAAGCAUUCCACAGGGAUACUGGUGGCCCAUGUUGACUCCAAUGCUUCCCAGAACUGUGUCAAGUUGGCUGGAUGUCCUUUGGGCGGUGGACCAUUCUUGAUACACACGGAAAACUGUAGAAAAACCCAGCAGGGUUGCAGUUCUUGACACAAACCGGUGCGCCUGGCAUCCUUCAAAGGGCACUUAAGUUUUUUUGUCUUGCCCAUUCACCCUCUGAAUGGCACACAUACAAUACAUGUCUCAAUUGUCUCAAGGGAAAACAAUCAUUCUUUAACCAGUCUUCUCCCCUUCAUAUUUAAAAAAAACUUUUUUCUUAUUUUUCUUAAAACUGCAUUGUUGGUUCAGGAAUACCUGCUGUAUUCAGCGCAUGUGCCAAAUAACAUUUUAUUUCAUCUACACUGAUUGAAGUGGAUUUAGCAAGUGACAUCAAUAAAAGAUCAUCGCUUUCACCUGGAUUCACCUGGUCAGUCUAUGUCAAUGUUUUGUACACUCAGUGUACAUUUCAGAAUCGAGACGUACUCCAUGUGUUAAGAGGAUUCUAUAAAGGCGGCCGCAUGCUUUCCAGACUAAACCGUUUGUGCAUACAGAACAUUCAGAAAGUAUACAGAGCCCUUAACUUAUUCUAAAAUUGAUUCAAUUGUUUUCCCCCCUCAUCAAUCUACACACAAUACCCCAUAACGACAUAGCAAAAACAGGUGUUUAGACAUUUUUGUAAAUGUAUUUACAUAAGGAUUCAGAGCCUUUACUCAGUACUUUGUUGAAGCUCCUUUGCAGUGAUUACAGCCUCAAAUCUUCUUGGGUAUGACGCUACAAGCUUGGCACACCUGUAUUUGGGGAGUUUCUUCCAUUCCAGUGCCUCUCAAGCUCGGUCAGGUUGGAUGGGGAGUGUCGCUGCACAGCUUUUUUCAGGUCUCUCCAGAGAUUUUUGACAGUGUUUGGCUGGGCCACUAAAGGACAUUCAGAGACUUGUCCCGGAGCAUAGGGUCGUUGUCCUGUUGGAAGGUAAACCUUGGUCCCCAGUCUGAGGUCCUGAGCGCUCCGUUUAUAUCAAGGCUCUCUCAGCAUCCUAAAUGAGAUGCUCAAACUCACUAGUGCAAAAUGUCAAUUGGCUAUAUUAAAACUGUUUAAUUUGAUCCUGAGUGUAGGUUAUUUCCCUGACAUCUGGAAUCAAGGACUCAUAGCCCCAAUCUUUAAGAACGGAAACAAAUUUGACCCCAAAC